UUUAAAAAAUUGUGAUCCCUCUACUUUACCUCCGUGCAAAGCUGAAUUACAACAACAUCUUUUAAGAACGCAAUAUAUAACGAGUAUUUGGAGAAAUGCAUAUUUGCGAUUCCCCAGCAGUUUGACACCGAAUAGAAACGGAUGGACACUUCAUGAGGAUACGCUACAUUUCCACUGGUUCGACGGAGAUUGUAUGCCGCAAUCAGUAUUCGACGCUAUUGUUCAUGAAAACAAUAAACAAAAUAAUAUUGGAAAUGAUACUACAGAUAAUGCAGGGGUAUCCGAAUUAGACACAGAUGAAUCUGAAGUUGAUUCUGAUGGCUCUGAUGAAGGAGCAUCUACAGAAGAAGAAUGACAAUUUCUUUCUGAUAUGACAGGGAAUUAAUUACAUUGAUAUUUGUAUACUCAUAAUAAUUCUGCAGCUGUAUUAUUAGUAUAUAAUUUUUCUAUUUCAAUAAAUCUGAUUUUGUAAUUUUA